rnacentral:lncRNA from 1 species
CUGUAGUGAAGCUGCGGCAUUGUUGAUUUUUUCUUUGCUUCCUUCUUGUUUUGCGAGGGCUGUCUCUCCAAUUCAACGAUAUUUUUCCUCGAUCUCUGUGACUCUGCGAGGAAGCAAGAAUCUGGAUCGGUUUCAUUUGGUGCUCUGUGGUGGCUCCAUAUCACCUACGUCGUUGUUUUGGUGCUGGUGGCUGAGGGGAUCUGGUUUUUUUUCUGAGCGCUACUGUUCCGGUUGUGGGAGCUGCCCGUCUUCGGCGGUGGUUGUCAACUCUUAAAGCGCUGAUUCCAGAGCUCCGAGAUCUCGCCAUGAUCCUUCGUCGUAGCGUGCGACGGUGUCAUAUGUUUAUUGGUUCUUGCUCGGUGCUCUAAUGCAGUUGGCAUUGACAUCUUCCUGGCAGCGUUGUAGCUGUCGACGACCUUGUUAAGGUUGCUGCAGUUGAUUUCGGAUUUCCGUCAUUGACAUUUCCUUAGUUCUAUUUUUUUUGUGUAGUUCUGUGGCGACGGUGCCGUCCCCGUUGGUUUUUUUUCUCUUUUUUCUUUUCUUUUCUUUUCUUAUAGUCACCUUCCGUAAUCUCUUAGUUUUUUUCCUCAUUGCUAUUGUUCGAGUCUCAUCCUUCCUCAUGUGUUUAUCUCCUCGGUUCCCUCUUUCGGCGCAUUUUUCAACGCCAUUUUUGAAUUCCCCAGAGCAGUUGAUCUUCACUGGCUCAGGGUUGUUUUCCUCUCGUUGAUCCUACCGUCAUCACCAUUCCUUCGUUCCCUCGUCUUAGUGGGUGUUCUGGGGCUGCUAGUCAAAGGUGGUAGGCGACGGCUAUUUCGAAAUUGUUCUGGUCCUUCUUCGGGUCCUUUUGCUGGUGGAUCUGUGGUAGAGUAAUUAGGGCUCUCUGUUUUCUUGGCUCCUGAUAUUGUUCAUGUUCCCCGAGUUGCUGAACUUCUACGGUUGCCGGGUACCCUUGUCGUACCGCGGCGCUGGACCGUUGAUCUUUUUGGAAAGGGCCUCGGUGUCGCCUUCUCUUACGUUGUUAUUAUUUUUUUCCUUUCAUCUUGCGGGUUCUUCUACAAUGCAUGAUUCUCCCUUCUUCCUGAGUUAGGUUACGAGUGACGGCAAGGGUAAGUGGAGGAUUGACCUUCCGCCUCUUGACAGAUCGAUUUACUUCCAAACUGAAAUCUACACAUGCGGAAAGCAUUCGACGGGAAUUACUAAGUACAUCCAAUACUAAAGCUUUCUGUCUCUGCCGCAAUUGUCACCAUCAUUGCUGAAGUUUUAUUUGCUAUCAAAGAUUGGGCACAAGCCAUUGGAGAGAACGAUUUCUUCUCGGUGCACUCAAAACCCGGGGCAACUCUUCUGCACAAGGAAAAGGCCUCCAGAUUGCAGCCAAACCUAGAAGUUCCCCAACGUGGUCAGACCCUGCUUGUCUCCGUUUUCUUCAGUUGAACAUAAGAACCAAGGAUACAGUUCAUGCCGUCGGUGAUCGCCAACCAGCUGUCGCUACUCACGGCCAAGUGCUCCUACUACAACAUAUCAAGAAGAUGUUGUAGGAUCUUCUUCGGAAGCUGCUGAUGAUACGUCUGGAAGCCCUUGUUGUUAUUCAGCGGCACUAUUGUAGAUUGCUGGAGCACGGCAUUGAGGAGUGAAAUUCCAAGAAUUUGUAAAACCAUAGUUAUUACUGUCCACACAAAAAUAGGACGUCUCUGUUUGGUUUCAUGUUUAAGAGCACUUCAAUAUUGUCGAACAUGGUACUGGAACCCAUAAAGUUGAAGGAGAAUUUGAUUCGAAUUGAAAUUAAUUAUAGAAGGUUCAACAAUAGUGCAUCCAACGGUAUAGAAGGAAGUUUAAACUAUUGUAAACAAGUACUCAGGACGACGGCUCCCACUGAGCCGCUUGCUGCUGCAUUCCUAUUUGGAAGUGGGAAAUUUAUCUAGUUCAAGCUCUUCUUCUAUAGUCAACUAUUGUUAUUCAUUGUGGUGUUAAGCAGCAAAUCUUGACAUUGUAAACCAACAUUCAUCAAUUCUUCUAAACAAUACUUGAAGAACUGGAUCAACACCAAUGAAGCCAGAGAGCAACUUGUUGGUGAGUUCCCAUCUGGAACAGAUUGGGAAGUACUUUUCAAGGUUGUCGUUGAGGUGGAAGGAGCGCCUUAUGGAGACAGAGGUUCUUCUUCAGUGUCUGUUACCAAUUAGAAGAUUGCAAGGUGAAUAUAAGGUUCACAGGAAGAAUUUAGGUUAAGAGAGCAAUUAAUUAGGGCUGGGUGGUAUUAGGUUUUUGUAAUGAAUCAUGUUGGAUGAAAUCAAGGAUGAAUUAAAUUCAAAUUGGAUAAAACCUUGAGAUGAAUAAGAAGUAGAAUGAACUUUUACUAAGUUGCUUCAUAAGAUAAGUAGUGGUUGUGAAUUAGGAUAAAUCAUCUAUUAAGGUGGUUAUUUUAUUCUACAAUUGGAAAGUUAUAAGACUUCUUGGACCAUAAAAUAUACUUUAAUCAAGAAGUAUUAGAUUAAUUGUAUCAUUAAAUUGUUGUGAAUUAGAAUAGGCUUUGAAUUAGUUAAGCUUUAUUUUAGUUCACAAGUGCUUCAAAACUUGAUUCACCUAUUCUGUUUAUCUAUUAAUUUGAGAAUGGAAGGCCAAAGAUAGUUUUAUAUCCACCUUCAACAUCUUAUAAAGGAUUCUUCAAAAUCUUGAUACGAAUUGUAUCUCUCUAUCUAAUAUAAUAUCUUCUGAUAAUCCAUAAUAGCAAUAGGUAUUGUUAAGGAAAAACAUAGCUGUUUCUUUAUAAUACUAAAUGUGCCAUUCUAAUGAAACAAUCUACUAUGAUGAAUAUAGAGUCAUAUCAACUUAAACUUAGAAGAUUUGUAAAAAAAUCCAUAGAAAUAGAAAACCAUGGUUGUUCUUGUAUAGACAAUGGUUGGAGAAGUCUAUAAGGUUGUUAAAGAGGAGUAUUUGACCUUGAGCAAAUGUCAGAUGAUUGUAUAAAGUUUUUCAUAACCUUCUAGAUUUGAAGCCACCAAAAAUCUCUUGAUAUUAGAUUCCAAGUCUUAUUGUAUCUAAAUUAUCAUGUUGUUGAAAAGUCAUGACAAUCUUAAAGAACACAUAAACGUUGUUGUAUUAUAAUACAACUAUUUGAUGAAAAUAUAAUCAAAAAUAAAAUUUUAAUUAAUAUUUAAUCAUCUUGAUUUAAUAAUAAUUCAAUAAAUUUAAAUAUAGCUUUUAUAAAAGCCUCUUAUUUUAUUUUCUUAUCUUAAUAGCUAGUAGAUUAAAAGUUGGUUAAUAAUUUUACUUUCUAGGAUACAAAAACUCUUUUAUUAUCUUAUAAAAGGCCACAAAUUGAUAAAAAUAGAAUAAAAAAUAAAUAAUUAAUAUGAUUGAUACUAAGGUUAAGUUGAGGGUAGGAUUGAGCUAAAAAAUCCUUAUGAUAGGUUAGAUUGAUAUCUUGAGAUUAACCGUUUGUAGAAUAAGGUCAAAAUUAGACUUCUAGCUAUUAAAACGGUUACUUAGGACAAAAUAAAGAAGCAUUUGGAAAUCUGCAAUUGGAAUCAAAGAGCUAACUUUAAGCUUCUUUCAAAGGCAUAAGACUUGUUUUUAUAAAAUUUGGAAUGACUUUAUAAUUGUUAUUUAAAAUCAAGGUUUGUAUUGAUAACUUAGAUUUAUAUAAUAUAAUUAGAGCUAGCACUCUUUGCUACUUCGUAAAAUUGGUAUUACAUCUAUAGUUCAAAAUUUUAAGGUGCUUUGUUAAUUGGAUGUGCUAAGUGUGUAUAAAAUUUUGUGUUAAUCUAAUAGUGUAGUUGAAAGAUAUCUGGAUUUUGGUACAAGAAGAUAUCAAAAGUUGGUAGUUUGGAGUUGAAUAGGAUUUCUAUGAUAUUUAAAGAUCUACUAAAGAAAAUAAGAUGAAAUUUGGCAUGAUAUUAGAAAACUUGAAAAUCAAGCUAUGUACCAAUUUUGAACUAAAAUUAAUAAUUAAAGAAGGAGAAAUUGCUACUGGAAAUCUACAUCAACUUUCAAGUUGGUAACCAAGUAACGUUAGUGCACUUUUUUGGACAUCUUCUCACAAUCUAUAACUUGGAUUAGACUAAAUUUUUUUAAAUAUGUAAAAGAUUUAUAUUAGAAUUUAUAUAUUAUAUUUUUAUAGUAAAUAGACAAUCAAAUUAGAAAUUAUAUUUUGUUGAAGUUUAUUGACUAAGAUUAGAGCUUGCAAAGAAUAAUCAAAAUUACCAAAUUAUAAAAAUAAUAAAGCAAUUGGAGUUUGUGUAUGGUUGAGAUUACUAAAAAGAGUAUUUUUGAGUAUUUUAUAUUGAAUUAAAAUUCGAAUUUCAUGCUUUUCAUAUAGGUGAAACCUAUUAGGGUUCUUUGAAUACUUGUAAAACAUAACUUCACCUUCUACAACUAGGUACCUAGUGCAUUUCCAAACAAGAAAACACAUAAUAUGACAUAAGUAGUGAAUCCAACAUGAAAGUUUAAGAUGGAAGAUGUUGGAUUGUAUUUGUGGUUAUUUGAAAUUGGUGGCAUAAGAAGGCAAGAAAGUUGAAUUUGGAGUUUUUGAUGGAACUUUGGAUAGAGCUUCCAGUGGAUUUUCAAGUGGAUUUUCAAGUAGAGUUUCAAGUAGAUUUUCUAUUGGUAGACAAGAUAUAUACUUUGAUUCAAAUAUUACAAAUAUGUUUCAUACAUUUGAAUUAUUUAUGCAAUAUGAAUAGAACAAUGAUAGCAAAGAGAGAUUAACAACCAAAGGAUUGCAAGGAGUGAUUAACAAAAUUGACCAAUUUGAUGGAAGAGAUAUUUUAAUAUAUUUCAGAUAUUAUAUAUGAAAAACAAAAUUGAUUCAUGUUUUUGAAAAGAAGAUAAUUGAAUUAUUUAAACUUGCUAUAAUAUCAAAGAUAAGAAAACAUGUUAAAUCAAUUAUGGAGCAUUUUGGAGAUUUACAGGAGAUAUUUUUACAUACAUUAAAGGAUGAAUAUUUUUUAAAUGAUAUUAAUUGGAUUAUGAAGAAAUUAUUUUUAGAAUGGAUUGAGUAGCCUAAUAAGAAUUUGUAAGCUAUGGAACUUUUGAGAAAGUUUUAAAGGUAAUAUUCUUUAUUAUCAAAGAUGAAAAAAGUAAUUGUGGAAUCAAAUAAGAUUGAAUUUUUUUUAAGCAACUUAUAGCAAAUUAAGAAGUUGAAAAUUUUCCUUAAAGAUAAAAAAUAAUAAAAUAAAAAAAAUAAAAAUGAAUGGUUAACAAUAAAAUGGAAAGAAGCUAAAGAUAUUGUGGAAUUACUUGCAAAGAGGGAAUGAAGAAAGAAUAGGAUUGGAAUUUAAAGAGUUGGACAAGUACCUACUUCAUGAUUGAUCAUUACAUCAAAGAAAAAAGAUAUGAGACUUGAAAAGAUUAUACAUGGGAUUCGAGAUCUUUGAAUCAAACUUGCAAGGCUUCAAGAAAAGAAUUCUACAAUAAGUUCAAAAGCUACUUCUAAGCAAAGAUACAUGCAAAGAUGUAUUUGGUGUAAUGAUGAUUAUUAUUGUUAAAAAGAUUCUUGUGAAUUCAAUGAAAUGGUGCAAAAAAGUAUUACUUUUAGAAAAGAUGGAAAGGUGGCAUCGAAAAAUACUAAUAAUCCUCUCUAAACUAACUUGAUAAAGGAUAUAUAAAAGUAUUAGUUAAGAAUUAUUUGGCUAUACGUAGAGUUAUAGCAAUGGAAGUUGCAAGUUAUGGGAUAAAAGUCGAUGAUGAUAGAAAACAAUAUUUUUUUGAAAAUAUUAUAUUAUGUGGACUUUGGUCUUCUACUAAUUCUAUAAUGCAAAAAAAAAAAAAAAAAAAAAAAAAAAAAAAAAAAAAAAUGCUAUUAAAAGCAUUGUUGAGGAUUGCUACUAUAAUUUAUAGAAGUACAAGUUGAGAGGAUCUUGUAGAAGCUUUGUGAAUACAUCCCUAUAUUGCUAAAAAACAACAUAAAGCUUUAAUAGAAGAAAAGAAGGGGCAAGAUUUUGUGGACACAAGAAAAGAAAGCACUUCCAAGAAAAAAAUUCAAAGAGACAAGGCUUGUGAAAUAGCUUCAUAAGAAUUAUUGAUAGAGAAUACUUUAGCAAUAUUGAAGAAAAAAUCUAAAGUCAUAGAAAAAAAAGAUAAGUUGUCAAUAUAAAAAUCACUCUUUGAUAUUGAGGCAACAAAUUUAAAGGAAGUGCUUAAAGAAUGUCUACUCAAUACUAAGGUUGAAUUAAUAUUGAAAUAGAUUUUGAGAAUUACCAAGAAAUAAUUUGAUAUUUUUAUUAAUGAUAAUAUUAAACAAAAGAGGCAAUUAAUAGAAGAAGUUGAAUUGAAUCAUGUUAUUGAUGUAUAUGUAUGUAAAGAUACAAAAAAUAAAUUUGGUAAUUGUUACAAUAAAUUAACAAGUGAAGAGAGGCAUAAUAAUCAUAGAAUAUAUUUUGAUGAUAAAAAUAAUAAAAACAAAGAAAUUUCAAGUCAUUAUACUCAAAAAAAAUUAUGCUACAGCAACUACAAAAGCAUUGGUGAAGGUUGGAGAUAUGGAUGAGGAGGUUGUUGUUUUAAUUGACCAUGGUUUGAAUAUAAAUCUUAUGUCCAAGGAUCUCUUUAUGAAGCAAAGGUGGCUAAUUGAUAUAAAGCAUGGAUAGAUAAUAAAAUGUCGUAUUACAUAUUGUCUUGUUAUGAAAUGCAUUGGACAUCUAGCUGUGAAAGGUAAAAUUAUGUUUUAUACGAUUCUAAGAAACUCUAAUAGGUUUUAUCCAUACAAGAAGAAUAUAAUCCAAAUUUUAAUUCAAAAGUCCUAAAAAAUACUCUUUUUAUUAUCUUCAAUCAUACAUACAUCCCAAUUACCUUAUUACUUUCAUAUUUAAGAAAUUUAGAUUUUUCAUGUAAGCUCUAAUCCUUAUUAGUGAGCUUUGAUAAGCUGUAACUUCUAAUUUGACCAUCCACUUAUUAUGAAAUUUUGCAUGCUAUUAGAAAUAUAAGUAAUAUAUAUGCUUAAGAAAUUUUAAGCCAAUCAAAC